UACGUAGGGUGCAAGCGUUGUCCGGAAUUAUUGGGCGUAAAGAGCUCGUAGGCGGUCUGUCGCGUCGGAUGUGAAAAUCCAGGGCUCAACCCUGGACCUGCAUUCGAUACGGGCAGACUAGAGUUCGGCAGGGGAGACUGGAAUUCCCGGUGUAGCGGUGAAAUGCGUAGAGAUCGGGAGGAACACCAACGGCGAAAGCACUCUGCUGGGCCGACACUGACACUGGAGAGACGAAAGCUAGGGGAGCGAAUGGG
rnacentral:rRNA from 1 species